rnacentral:rRNA from 1 species
AGUGAACGCUGGCGGUAGGCCUAACACAUGCAAGUCGAACGGCAGCACAGUAAGAGCUUGCUCUUACGGGUGGCGAGUGGCGGACGGGUGAGGAAUGCAUCGGAAUCUACUUUUUCGUGGGGGAUAACGUAGGGAAACUUACGCUAAUACCGCAUACGACCUACGGGUGAAAGCAGGGGAUCUUCGGACCUUGCGCGAUUGAAUUAGCCGAUGUCGGAUUAGCUAGUUGGCGGGGUAAAGGCCCACCAAGGCGACGAUCCGUAGCUGGUCUGAGAGGAUGAUCAGCCACACUGGAACUGAGACACGGUCCAGACUCCUACGGGAGGCAGCAGUGGGGAAUAUUGGACAAUGGGCGCAAGCCUGAUCCAGCCAUACCGCGUGGGUGAAGAAGGCCUUCGGGUUGUAAAGCCCUUUUGUUGGGAAAGAAAAGCAGCAGGUUAAUACCCCGCUGUUCUGACGGUACCCAAAGAAUAAGCACCGGCUAACUUCGUG